AUCUCUCAAUCCCUCUGGCUUUGUUGACAGAGGGCUUGGAUUUGGGGGCUUGCCGGCCUAGUCGGCUCCCCUUGAAUGCAUUAGCUUGGGUCUUGUCCGCAAGGAUCCUCGGUGUGAUAAUUAUCGACGCCGUGACAACUUGUGGCGCGUGUGACCGCACCCCUCGGGUGGCGUGUGACCGGACCGCUAAGCUUACAAUCGUCCUCGGACAACUUCUUGAC
rnacentral:misc_RNA from 1 species